rnacentral:miRNA from 1 species
ACCAUCUGAUCAUCUGCCUAUA